rnacentral:lncRNA from 1 species
GGAGGUUUUGCUUCCCAUAUAUUAAAACCCGGCACUCUGACACCGAGGCCACGAAAAGAAAGGCAAGAAACAAAGACAGCGGCAACCACAAGUUGUUCAGCGGUGAAACCGAGGUUUUCGAGCUGUCGGGAUUGGGAGGCGUACAACCGUGCUCAAAGCUACAAACUGUUCAUGACACAGACACACAAACCUAAACGAAGCAAAGCAUGCCUUUGAAUGAUUGGGAUCGGAUUGUUUGCCCGAAACCUUUUUUGACGUCACAGUGCCGUUCGGCGGGCAAAGCCGGAAAAAAAGAGAUUCCUGGGACGUUGCGACGGGACUGUCCAACACCAUUCUCGUACGUAGUCACCAGAGGGAUUUCCUCGACGCUCUUCAGAAAAGAGGUUUCCAAAGAGCUUUCUCCCUCGUCCCUCGCGUUUUGCUCAGCAAGGGCAACCGAAUCUGCUAUCUGCUUCCACAGGACGGAGUCGCCGAGUCGGUGUAACGGAGAGAGACACAUAAACUGUCAAACACCAGAGAACAACAAAGAACAGAGCAAGGAUUAAUAGGGAGUUUUCCUGGGCGGAGUUGCUCUUGCGUUCGUUCCUUUCGCUGAGUUGCAGUAACGAC